CGAGGUGGCCGCUGCCACCGCCGACUGCCUCAGACCCCGCCUGGCACCCGGGCCGAAUCGUCUGUCGCCCGGCGCCUGGGUUGGAGUCACCCCCACUCCCGCUUGCCCCGGUAUCUUAAGUUUCCCUACGUUUCAUUCGGUUCAAGGAAACGUUAGGCUCGCACGGCGGGGGCGACAGAAGCGGACGAGGCUGGAGCGCAACUUCGAAGGACGUCCCCGCCCUCAGCCUCUCCUCAGACCUGUGUUCACUCGUCACGGUCUCCCAAGAUGGGCGGAGGGCGAGGAGCCGUAGGGGCGAGCGGCGACUGGAGACUGCUGCGCGCGGUCGGGGAGAGCAGCGUCUAGGUAUGAUUGAAUCCCUCCCUCCCUUGCGGAGAACCCAAAAUCCCCCCUUGGUAUCUUCCUGGCCAAGCAUAGUCACCGCUGAUGGCUCACAGUACGGGGAGGGAUACCCGUGAUAUCCAGUUAGGUGCUGUACCUAUUGAAGACACACAGGAAUUAGGUGUAUCGAAGAUCGUAUUCUUAAUAAGGUACAGUUGGACUUCUGAUUUCUCAAUAACUGAGAAGAUAUUUAUAUUUAUUUGUCUUUUAUUUUUGUAUUUUUGCCAUGUAUUGAACGUAUCAGGAGUGUAUUUGUGCAAUUAAUGACAAGAUAAUCGUCUUUUCUUCUUUAUGGCCCUCUUCCCCUUAAUGGUCUGGGAAUUGUCUGUCAUUAUUGUUUAACAAAAUAUUGGACAUGAUUUCAUUUACAAUGGGGGAAAAAAGAGGCAUGGUCAAAGAAGAAAUCAGAUGUGACCUAAAACACAUGAAGGAUAUCUUAUUUUCACUAUUUGAGAAGAAUAUAUUUUAUUUUUAGUACUGUGGCAUAAUAUACAACAUUUUGUAAUAAGCAUAGAUUGUGUAGUCUAGGUCUUAAUUGUAUCACUCACCACAUAGUUGUAUGUAGAAAUGAUUGAUGCAUAAUAUGUCAUACCAUGGCAUGAAGCAUGAUGUCAUAUGCUUUCCCCUUUAUUUUGAAGUACAUUCCACAACAUGACACAAAACAUAAGAACUUGUGACUUCUCUUUAAAGCCAUAAUUGUGCAAGUAAUGUACUACAGAAGGAUUUAGUCAACAUAUCCUAAGAAAAAAAUGAAUGUCAUUGUAUCAGCUCUACCAUUCUAUGAAAUGUCCUUUAAGCAAAUGGUAAUAUAAAAUAUUAAAAUGCAUUAUGUAUAAUGUACAUAUGCACAGUCUAUGUACAAUAUACAUAUUGUAUACCAUAUAAUUACUAUAGUUUAUGACCACCAUGAAAGGAAAAGGAAAACAAAUGUUUCUCUGCUUGGAGAAGGAUGAGUGUUAUAUUAAGAUUUUACAUGUGUGAACCUUACAUAUAUAUGUAUUUAGAAACAUUGUUCUUAUGAUUGAAAAAAGGUUGACAAUCCUGAGAUUGUAUUAGAGGAAACUGAUUUGAUUAAUUUGAGAAGUGAUUUGUGAAAUUAAUUUGAGAAAAUGACUUUUAAAUGCUAAUAGAAAAAGUCUGACAGUUCUAAGAAGUCUGAAUUGUAACAGAAGAGAAUGGUUUACUCUAAGCUGCUAAAAGCUAAUGGUCCUGUCAUUAAAAUCAUUUGAAGUAUUAUUAAAAUACAGAAAAACAUUAAAAUCUUUCUCUGUGCAAACUGUA